UACGGGGGGGGCAAGCGUUUGUUCGGAAUUACUGGGCGUAAAGGGCUCGUAGGUGGCCAACUAAGUCAGACGUGAAAUCCCUCGGCUUAACCGGGGAACUGCGUCUGAUACUGGAUGGCUUGAGUUCGGGAGAGGGAUGCGGAAUUCCAGGUGUAGCGGUGAAAUGCGCAGAUAUCAGGAGGAACACCGGUGGCGAAGGCGGGUCUCUGGGCAACUACUGACGCUGAGGAGCGAAAGCGUGAGGAGCGAAACAGG
rnacentral:rRNA from 1 species